rnacentral:rRNA from 1 species
AUUGAACGCUGGCGGCAUGCUUUACACAUGCAAGUCCAACGGUAACAGGCCUUCGGGUGCUGACGAGUGGCGAACGGGUGAGUAAUGCAUCGGAACGUACCCAGAGGUGGGGGAUAACGCAGCGAAAGCUGUGCUAAUACCGCAUGUGAUCUGAGGAUGAAAGCGGGGGACCGAGCAGCAAUGUUUGGCCUCGCGCCUUUGGAGCGGCCGAUGUCGGAUUAGCUAGUUGGUGGGGUAAAGGCCUACCAAGGCGACGAUCCGUAGCUGGUCUGAGAGGACGACCAGCCACACUGGGACUGAGACACGGCCCAGACUCCUACGGGAGGCAGCAGUGGGGAAUUUUGGACAAUGGGCGCAAGCCUGAUCCAGCAAUGCCGCGUGCGGGAAGAAGGCCUUCGGGUUGUAAACCGCUUUUGGCAGGAACGAAACGGUGUCCGCUAAUACCGGGCGCUAAUGACGGUACCUGCAGAAUAAGCACCGGCUAACUACGUG